UGCAAAAAAGAAGAUCAAAACUUGCUUUAUUCCAUUAAUAAAAAAUAGUACAAUGUUUACAUGAGAAUUUCAACAAAAUUACACAAAAGCAAAACUUGCACAUGGAUCCUUGUCAACAUCACUCGGAUCAUUCUUUCCACUCCCCACAAAAUCAAGGCCAAAACCUCUCAUAACAGCUCAAAUCCCCUCAUUCUUAUCCUAAAAGUACAUCUCACCAAUUCACACGCUCACUCACACGAUUUGACCUCAAAUUUCACUUAAAUUCACCCACCCACCUAAAAUCAACCCUAUUAUGUCAUAUCAAGCCUAACUAAUUCUCUACUCAAUAGCCAACAACAUUGACAAUUGAUAAACAAAUUCCAUUCUGAGCGAAAAUCCACAACCUGCAUAUCUUCCAAACCUUCACUUAAGAGUUCAAUUUCAUAGACCAUUAGAACUUCACAUUGAAGCUCUAAAUGGCAUGAGCUUAGCCCUUAACCUUCAUUCAUUGUUACCUCAACACAACAUAAGAAUAAAGAAGAAUUAGAAUGAGUAGAGGAAGAAGAAAGAAGCUGAAGAAAAGAGUAAGAAGAGAUAGAGUUCAUUAUCUAGAAAUCUCACUCACCGAAAGCUGAAAUUGGUCGUCAGAGCUCUGAUUUGGUAGCUUUUGUGUUUAUUUCAUAUUUUUUUUGUUUAAUAUUGUUGUAUACAUGAUUAUCCUUUUCCCAUGUUUGAUUUGCUUGUAAUCCGGGCAAAAAUAAUGAAAAUGGGGUUAGGGUUUUUGCGGGUUUUAUGGUUUCGAUCUGGUUUAUUUGUUUGUUGAUUGGUUGUUGUUUCGUUGUUGGAUUUGUGCUCAUGGGGUAAUUUUAUCGGGGUUGGUGUUUAAGGUUUUGGAUUUUGGAUAGAUUUUAGUUUUUUUUAGAAAAUUUUGAUGAGAGAUGAUGAAUGUUCAUCAUGUUCUAGAUGAACAUGGCAGAGCUAGCAGCGAUUUUUUGGAAAAGAUGGUGGUCUGAUGUGUGUUUGAGAGCAUAACUAGAAGAGAGCAUAGAAAUAGUCUUGAAAGGAAGUUGAGGGAAGAUAGAGAAAAUUGUAGGGGUGGCAAAACGGGCUCGGCCCGCGGGCAUUCCCCGCUCCGCCCUCACUUUUGUGCGGGGCGGGCCAAGGAUUUA
rnacentral:lncRNA from 1 species